GAAAAAGUGGAGAAUGUAUUAGUUAUAUUACUUAUGUAAUAUUUUUAAUUAAUUUAAUUAUUUUAUUAAAUUUAUUUAUUUUGUUAUAGGAUUAUUAAAAAUAUUUUUUUAAAAAAAAUAUAAUUAACUAAUUAUAAUAAUAUAUAUAAGGUGUGUUUGGUUCGAAGUCGGAAUCGAAAUCGAAAACGAAAUGAAAAUAAGCUGGAAUCAGAAUCGGAAGGACUCAUUACUUCAUUAUGUUUGAUUUGCCACCUGAAUCGGAAUCAAAAUAAAUUAUUUUUAUUGUCAGUGUUUGGUUCAGAUAGUUAUCAAAAACAGAAUCAAAUUAAUAUAUCAAUUUUACCCUUUAUAAUAUAUUUUAAUUACUUUUAACUAUUUUGAAUACUCUAUUUAAAAUAUAAAUGAGUAACUUAUAAAAUAAUGAAUAAAAAGUUAAAAAAAUUAUAUUUUAUAUUAUUUAAUAUGAAAAUAAACUAUUUAUUAUUAUUUUUAUUGUAAUAAUUACAUGAUAAUAUAUAAAUUAUAAAAUUUUAUAUGACUUUAAUAAA
rnacentral:lncRNA from 1 species